GUAGAUGAUGAGAUAUGCACUGGGCUCUGAGGUGAUUUCAAAUGAAAUCCUCUUAAUUUGAUGGAAAUUGCAGCCCUGAUACUUUUUUUUCAUCU